GGAUGGUGUCUCUCUGAUUGAGCAAGGUAAAGAGUUUCAGAAUGUGGGGGCAGCAUGGCUGAAUUCCAAGGAACCUGAGUUUGUCUUUAUUCUUGACACCGAUAGGAGAGAUUUGUUGGCUGACUGAAGUGAGCAUGAUGAAAUAUGUGGUGUCAGGAGCUCUUUCAGGUAUUCUGGACCCUGACUGUUUAAGGUGUUGAAGGUCAG